ensembl:lncRNA
UACAGACUCAGUGGUGGAGAGCCUGAGCAGCCGCCAGGAUGAGGAGGCUGCAGACUCCUCUGGGACACCUUGAAGCCUCAGCCUGGGACUGGAAGAGUCCAAAAGUUUCCAUCUUGACCAGGAUACAAGAUUGACCUCACUCUUCAUCUAUUACGAGCCAACUUUAGUAUAAGCUUAGUUCUUUAUUGUCUAGAUUUAGUAUUAAGUUCUGAUACAUGUUUACUACUUGGUAUAUAAGAUUUUGGUAGAAUGUAAGAUUGUGUAUUAAAUAAUUGUUACCUAUCCAUUUGCUUUUUUUAAAACUAGUUUUCGAUAAAAUAAACACAGGUAUAGGAAAGCCCCCUUAAGCA